UCUGGGCUCUAAUAGCUCAAGAGCGUUCAAAUCAAUUCGUGUAAAUGGAGAGAUUACUGUACUCGCUUAUAGCUAUUAUUCUAUCAUACAGCAAAAAGACACUUGUGUGUCGACAAAUACAAAACAUAUAUUUACUGACAUUUAUCUUAACUAUAAUUUCAAAUAAUUUAAAUGCAUAAAAUGUUUGUAGACACUAACAGUGUCCUUUCAUUGCGUUUUGUAGUUAAACCAAGUCCAACAGACACGUACUUUCUUACAAGCCAAUAAAUUAAAACGACGUUGCUCUGUUUCAUCUACACUUAUCGGCAUUUUGUACUAUUCGUUUAAAUAUACCAAGAGAAUGUGAAUGGGUUUUAAUAGAUAUCUUUCAACAAAAUCUUGAUGCUCGAUGUACAAUUAAUAAAUCGCAUUAAAAAAUAUGCAUAUUAGGACAUAUC
rnacentral:lncRNA from 1 species